GAAAAGAAACUAACAAGGAUUCCCCUAGUAACGGCGAGUGAAGCGGGAAGAGCUCAAAUUUGAAAUCUGGUAGCCUUCGGUUGCCCGAGUUGUAAUCUAGAGAAAUGUUUUCCGUGCCGGCCCAUGUACAAGUCCCUUGGAACAGGGCGUCAUAGAGGGUGAGAAUCCCGUCCUUGACAUGGACCCCCGGUGCUUUGUGAUACAUUUUCAACGAGUCGAGUUGUUUGGGAAUGCAGCUCAAAAUGGGUGGUGAAUUCCAUCUAAAGCUAAAUAUUGGCGAGAGACCGAUAGCGAACAAGUACCGUGAGGGAAAGAUGAAAAGCACUUUGGAAAGAGAGUUAAACAGUACGUGAAAUUGUUGAAAGGGAAACGAUUGAAGUCAGUCAUGCUCUUUGGUAUUUAUAUCAUUGAGUGGGGUCAACAUCAGUUUUGAUCGAUGGAUAAAGGCACUAGGAAUGUAGCACUCUCGGGUGAACUUAUAGCCUAGCGUCAUAUACAUUGAUUGGGACUGAGGAACGCAGCAUGCCUUUAUGGCCGGGAUUCGUCCACGUACAU
rnacentral:rRNA from 1 species